UACGAAGGGGGCUAGCGUUGCUCGGAAUCACUGGGCGUAAAGCGCACGUAGGCGGUUCUUUAAGUCAGGGGUGAAAUCCCAAGGCUCAACCUUGGAACUGCCUUUGAUACUGGGGAUCUCGAGUCCGGAAGAGGUUGGUGGAACUGCGAGUGUAGAGGUGAAAUCCGUAGAUAUUCGCAAGAACACCAGUGGCGAAGGCGGCCAACUGGUCCGGUACUGACGCUGAGGUGCGAAAGCGUGGGGAGCAAACAGG
rnacentral:rRNA from 1 species